rnacentral:misc_RNA from 1 species
UUUCCGUAGGUGAACCUGCGGAAGGAUCAUUAUUGUAUAACCGAGGUGCGAGGGCUGUCGCUGACCCGAAAUGUCGUGCACGCCCGAGUGCCCUCACACACAUCCACCUCACCCCUAUGUGCACCACCGCGUGGGUCACCCUUUGGCUUGUUCGGAGGGGGGCUUACGUUUUCACACAAACUUUGUAUGCAGUGUAGAAUGUAUUUUUUGUUUUUGCGAUCACGCAAUCAAUACAACUUUCAACAACGGAUCUCUUGGCUCUC